GAUCUCUACAGCUCUGUGAAAGCAGGUUGUGACAAGGUUGGGGUCAGCCUUCUCUCCAAGCCUGUGCUUGCAGCACUGGUUGUUGCUAGGUGGAAGUGGUGUCAGCCCAGAGUCAUCCUGCCCAAGAUCCCCUCAUGUUUGCAGGGGUGCAUCCCUGAGAUGGAGCACUCCAGGCCACCUCCUGGCAUUGUGCUCCUGAGCCUUUAAUCAUCCACAGCAUUGGCAAACUGUUUCCUCGAGGAGACAAUUGAUAAAGCUGAUGAAAAGGGAUCUAAAUUCCUCAUCAGGCUCAAGCUCUGAAAAGCUGGAUUUCCGCAGCACAGCGCAAAGUGCAGCCAUAUGAAAGGUUGAAAAAUAUAUGUAUAUGAAUACAGAAAGAAAGGAAUGCACGGCACUGCACAGCCUUUGCAACGUGCAGGCUGCAGCAAGUGGUGAUUUCAGCAUCUUUCUUCCACCCCUGUGCAGAAUACCAAAAAAGAACAUCUUUUUCGACAUCACCAGUGCAAUUACGGAGUAAUUCCCACAUUGAUGUUGUUCCAGACCAUCUGAUCCCAGCCUCUGGAAGUCCUUCCUGCUGGAAAGCAGCAGUCCCUGUAUGAACUACGAGCACGGUUGAGUCGGAAGUCGCCUUCAUAACAGCUUUGAUGUUUCAACGCUUUUUACAGGAGAUGAGAUUUGAUAACCUGCUUCCUGACCUGUGGAUAGAGAGCAGAAUGAAACCCAAAUUCUUGAGAGAGUAACCAAACACCUCUGGGAAGAGCCACAGAACAGUCGGGCUGAUUUGUAGGGCCGUGGGUUUGCCAGGAAACCUCCCUGAGCUAUUACUUUAAAUUGCCACUAAGUGGCAGCCAAGUAAAAAUUAUGGUAAAAUGAAACUUUCCCAAAUAAAUAUUUCAUCUAACGUCAGCGCAAGGUGCAGCAGCAUCAACAGAAUUCCUGAGCCCUGUGGUGCCCGGGAAGCUACACCAAGGGAGGAGAUGGCAAUAAGAGGGAUCUGUGGGAAUCCAUGUGGGUUUUCCUUGGGAGGAGCACAGUGUGCAGCAUGGUGUGCUUCCUGACUUGUUACAGAACCACAGAAUC
rnacentral:lncRNA from 1 species